AUCCAAAAAGAGGGGCCAAAUCAUUUUUCUUUUACAAGAAGCUAAUAUAGAUAUGUCAUAUAGAUUAUUCUUAUAAAUGUUUUUUAUGCAAAUUUACUACCAUGACCUUCUGUUGAUACACGUGAUCUGGAAAACCAUACCUUGUAAGGGGUCAUUAGGACCAAUAUGGGAAUCCAAAUCAUCCUGGUAAGAAAUAGCCUUAUGUUUUUACUACAAUUUUUUUCUAUUAUUUCUUUUCCAGUUACUUAUAACAUUUCACAUAAACAGAAGAAAAUGUUGAUAGUUGUUCAAAAAGAACAUAAGUAUCGUGCUCAAGAAAUAGCUUAUGUUUUUACUACAAUUUUUUCUAUCAUUUCUUUUCCAGUUACUUGUAACAUUUCACAUAAACAGAAGAAAAUGUUGAUAGUUGUUCAAAAAGAACAUGAGUAUCGUGCUCAAGAAAUAGCAAUGUAUUUACCUAAAUACCAAAUUACAACAAUCCACUUUAAAUUUUACUGGCACAAGCAAAGUGCUUACAUUUCCCCUGAUUAUAACAACCAACAAACUAAAACUAUUCUAUAAUCAUGAAUAUUGACAAAGUAUGUUGCUAUCACAGGAAAGAAACUGAAAGUAGGAUGUUAUGUUAGUGUGAGUGGUUGUUUGUGCUUGCAUACUCCCCAAGGCUGAUGUUUCAAGCUAACCCUUUUUUCAUUUUCUUGACAGUUAUAAUUGUUUACAUUAAAGUUUUCCAAGAAGUCAACAAUAUAAAUGAUAAUUAUACAUAUAGGAAUUUCAUUUUAUAGAUUAGCUGCUGAGAUUUUCUCUUUAUUUUGAAUACCUAAUAGUGUGACAUGAAAUUAACUCUGUUUCUAGAUCAAAAUAUUUAAGGUUGAGAUUUACAAUCAUAGAUUUGGCAUUCAACCUUUGUUACAGCUAGACCAUUUUGGGCCAAAAGUUUUAGGGGUCAAAAAAUAGUACAAAAAAU
rnacentral:lncRNA from 1 species